GACGUAGGGCGCGAGCGUUGUCCGGAUUUAUUGGGCGUAAAGAGCUCGUAGGCGGCUUGUCGCGUCGAAUGUGAAAUCUCAGGGCUCAACUCUGACAUUGCAUUCGAUACGGGCAGACUAGAGUUCGGUAGGGGAGUCUGGAAUUCCUGGUGUAGCGGUGAAAUGCGCAGAUAUCAGGAGGAACACCGGUGGCGAAGGCGGGACUCUGGGCCGAUACUGACGCUGAGGAGCGAAAGCGUGGGGAGCAAACAGG
rnacentral:rRNA from 1 species